rnacentral:misc_RNA from 1 species
GAUGAAGAACGUAGCGAAAUGCGAUAAGUAAUGUGAAUUGCAGAAUUUAGUGAAUCAUCGAAUCUUUGAACGCACAUUGCGCCCGCCAGUAUUCUGGCGGGCAUGCCUGUUCGAGCGUCAUUACAACCCUCAGGCCCCCGGGCCUGGCGUUGGGGAUCGGCGGAAGCCCCCUGCGGGCACAACGCCGUCCCCCAAAUACAGUGGCAGUCCCGCCGCAGCUUCCAUUGCGUAGUAGCUAACACCUCGCAACUGGAGAGCGGCGCGGCCACGCCGUAAAACACCCAACUUCUGAAUGUUGACCUCGAAUCAGGUAGGAAUACCCGCUGAACUUAAGCAUAUCAAUAAGCGGAGGA